UCGGGAAUUUUGGGCAAUGGGGGAAACCCUGACCCAGCAACGCCGCGUGAAGGAUGAAGUAUUUCGGUAUGUAAACUUCGAAAGAAUAGGAAGAAUAAAUGACGGUACUAUUUAUAAGGUCCGGCUAACUACGUGCCAGCAGCCGCGGUAAUACGUAGGGACCAAGCGUUGUUCGGAAUCACUGGGCGUAAAGCGCACGUAGGCGGAUUCUUAAGUCGGUGGUGAAAUCCUGGAGCUCAACUCCAGAACUGCCUCCGAUACUGAGAGUCUUCGAGUCCGGGAGAGGUGAGUGGAACUGCGAGUGUAGAGGUGAAAUUCGUAGAUAUUCGCAAGAACACCAGUGGCGAAGGCGGCUCACUGGCCCGGUACUGACGCUGAGGUGCGAAAGCGUGGGGAGCAAACAGGAUUAGAUACCCGAGUAGUCCCUGAGCGGGCUGGCAAGGCGCAU
rnacentral:rRNA from 1 species